rnacentral:rRNA from 1 species
GAUGAACGCUAGCGGCAGGCUUAAUACAUGCAAGUCGAGCGGUAACAGGUGUAGCAAUACAUGCUGACGAGCGGCAGACGGGUGAGGAACACGUACGCAACUUUCCUCAAACCGGGGCAC